AGCAGCCGCGGUAAUUCCAGCUCCAAUAGCGUAUAUUAAAGUUGCUGCAGUUAAAAGCUCGUAGUUGAAUUUCGGGACCAUCAUGUCGGUCGUGCCUCGGUACGUACUGGCAUUGUUGGUUUCUACCUUCUGACGAACCAUGAUGUCAUUUAUUUGGUGUCGUGGGAAAUCAGGACUGUUACUUUGAAAAAUUAGAGUGUUUAAAGCAGGCUCACGCUUGAAUACAUUAGCAUGGAAUAAUGAAAAUAGGACGUUUGAUUCUAUUUUGUUGGUUUCUAGGAUCGACGUAAUGAUUAAUAGGGAUAGUUGGGGGCAUUAGUAUUCAAUUGUCAGAGGUGAAAAUUCUUGGAUUUAUUGAAGACUAACUACUGCGAAAGCAUUUGCCAAGGAUGUUUUCAUUAAUCAAGAACGAAAGUUAGGGGAUCGAAGACGAUCAGAUACCGUCGUAGUCUUAACCAUAAACUAUGCCGACUAGGGAUCGGAUGAUUGUUAAUUUUUUAAUUGACUCAUUCC
rnacentral:misc_RNA from 1 species